CCUACGGGUGGCUGCAGUGAGGAAUAUUGGUCAAUGGGCUUACGCCUGAACCAGCCAAGUCGCGCGAGGGAAGACUGCCCUAUGGGUUGUAAACCUCUUUUGUCAGGGAGCAACGCCGGCUACGUGUAGCCGGACUGAGAGUACCUGAAGAAAAAGCAUCGGCUAACUCCGUGCCAGCAGCCGCGGUAAUACGGAGGAUGCGAGCGUUAUCCGGAUUUAUUGGGUUUAAAGGGUGCGUAGGCGGAAUGCCAAGUCAGCGGUAAAAUCGCGGGACUGCAUUGGGAACUGGCGCGCUGGAGUGCCGGAGGGGUAGGCGGAAUUCCUAGUGUAGCGGUGAAAUGCGUAGAUAUUAGGAGGAACACCAGUGGCGAAGGCGGCCUACUGGACGGUGACUGACGCUGAGGCUCGAAAGCGUGGGGAGCAAACAGGAUUAGAUACCCUUGUAGUC
rnacentral:rRNA from 1 species